rnacentral:rRNA from 1 species
AGCGUACACGGUGGAUGCCCUGGCAGUCAGAGGCGAUGAAGGACGUGCUAAUCUGCGAUAAGCGUCGGUAAGGUGAUAUGAACCGUUAUAACCGGCGAUUUCCGAAUGGGGAAACCCAGUGUGAUUCGUCACACUAUCAUUAACUGAAUCCAUAGGUUAAUGAGGCGAACCGGGGAACUGAAACAUCUAAGUACCCCGAGGAAAAGAAAUCAACCGAGAUUCCCCAGUAGCGGCGAGCGAACGGGGAGCAGCCCAGAGCCUGAAUCAGUGUGUGUGUUAGUGGAAGCGUCUGGAAAGGCGCGCGAUACAGGGUGACAGCCCCGUACACAAAAAUGCACAUACUGUGAGCUCGAUGAGUAGGGCGGGACACGUGGUAUCCUGUCUGAAUAUGGGGGGACCAUCCUCCAAGGCUAAAUACUCCUGACUGACCGAUAGUGAACCAGUACCGUGAGGGAAAGGCGAAAAGAACCCCGGCGAGGGGAGUGAAAAAGAACCUGAAACCGUGUACGUACAAGCAGUGGGAGCACAGAGCAAUCUGUGUGACUGCGUACCUUUUGUAUAAUGGGUCAGCGACUUAUAUUCUGUAGCAAGGUUAACCGAAUAGGGGAGCCGAAGGGAAACCGAGUCUUAACUGGGCGUUAAGUUGCAGGGUAUAGACCCGAAACCCGGUGAUCUAGCCAUGGGCAGGUUGAAGGUUGGGUAACACUAACUGGAGGACCGAACCGACUAAUGUUGAAAAAUUAGCGGAUGACUUGUGGCUGGGGGUGAAAGGCCAAUCAAACCGGGAGAUAGCUGGUUCUCCCCGAAAGCUAUUUAGGUAGCGCCUCGUGAAUUCAUCUCCGGGGGUAGAGCACUGUUUCGGCAAGGGAGUCAUCCCGACUUACCAACCCGAUGCAAACUGCGAAUACCGGAGAAUGUAUCACGGGAGACACACGGCGGGUGCUAACGUCCGUACGUGAAGAGGGAAACAACCCAGACCGCCAGCUAAGGUCCCAAAGUCAUGGUUAAGUGGGAAACGAUGUGGGAAGGCCCAGACAGCCAGGAUGUUGGCUUAGAAGCAGCCAUCAUUUAAAGAAAGCGUAAUAGCUCACUGGUCGAGUCGGCCUGCGCGGAAGAUGUAACGGGGCUAAACCAUGCACCGAAGCUGCGGCAGCGACGCUUAUGCGUUGUUGGGUAGGGGAGCGUUCUGUAAGCCUGUGAAGGUGUACUGUGAGGUAUGCUGGAGGUAUCAGAAGUGCGAAUGCUGACAUAAGUAACGAUAAAGCGGGUGAAAAGCCCGCUCGCCGGAAGACCAAGGGUUCCUGUCCAACGUUAAUCGGGGCAGGGUGAGUCGACCCCUAAGGCGAGGCCGAAAGGCGUAGUCGAUGGGAAACAGGUUAAUAUUCCUGUACUUGGUGUUACUGCGAAGGGGGGACGGAGAAGGCUAUGUUGGCCGGGCGACGGUUGUCCCGGUUUAAGCGUGUAGGCUGGUUUCCAGGCAAAUCCGGAAAAUCAAGGCUGAGGCGUGAUGACGAGGCACUACGGUGCUGAAGCAACAAAUGCCCUGCUUCCAAGGAAAAGCCUCUAAGCAUCAGGUAACAUCAAAUCGUACCCCAAACCGACACAGGUGGUCAGGUAGAGAAUACCAAGGCGCUUGAGAGAACUCGGGUGAAGGAACUAGGCAAAAUGGUCGCCGUAACUUCGGGAGAAGGCACGCUGAUAUGUAGGUGAAGCGACUUGCUCGUGGAGCUGAAAUCAGUCGAAGAUACCAGCUGGCUGCAACUGUUUAUAAAAACACAGCACUGUGCAAACACGAAAGUGGACGUAUACGGUGUGACGCCUGCCCGGUGCCGGAAGGUUAAUUGAUGGGGUCAGCGCAAGCGAAGCUCUUGAUCGAAGCCCCGGUAAACGGCGGCCGUAACUAUAACGGUCCUAAGGUAGCGAAAUUCCUUGUCGGGUAAGUUCCGACCUGCACGAAUGGCGUAAUGAUGGCCAGGCUGUCUCCACCCGAGACUCAGUGAAAUUGAACUCGCUGUGAAGAUGCAGUGUACCCGCGGCAAGACGGAAAGACCCCGUGAACCUUUACUAUAGCUUGACACUGAACAUUGAGCCUUGAUGUGUAGGAUAGGUGGGAGGCUUUGAAGUGUGGACGCC